rnacentral:rRNA from 1 species
AGGGUUCGAUUCCGGAGAGGGAGCCUGAAAAAUGGCUACCACAUCUAAGGAAGGCAGCAGGCGCGUAAAUUACCCAAUCCUGAUUCAGGGAGGUAGUGACAAGAAAUAACAACUCGGGGACCGAAUGGUCUUACGGGAUUGCAAUGAGGACAAUUUAAAUCACUUAGCGAGGAACAAUUGGAGGGCAAGUCUGGUGCCAGCAGCCGCGGUAAUUCCAGCUCCAAUAGCGUAUAUUAAAGUUGUUGCAGUUAAAAAGCUCGUAGUUGAACUUCUGGGAGUGAUUUGGUUCGGCUUUUAGUCAGCUAUUUCGCUUCCAUUCGUCUGCAAACUGUGCUUGCCCUUCACUGGUGCGACUCAGCGAGUAGACAUUUUACUUUGAAAAAAUUAGAGUGCUUAAAGCAGGCAAUCGCCUGAAUACUUUAGCAUGGAAUAAUGGAAUAGGACUCACACUCCGUUUGAUUGGUUUUCGGAUAUGAGUAAUGAUUAAUAGGGACAGUUGGGGGCAUUAGUAUUUAAUUGUCAGAGGUGAAAUUCACGGAUUUAUUAAAGACUAACUUAUGCGAAAGCAUUUGCCAAGGAUGUUUUCAUUAAUCAAGAACGAAAGUUAAGGGAUCAAAGACGAUCAGAUACCGUCCUAGUCUUAACUAUAAACUAUACCGACUCGGGAUUGUCAAGGUAUUCUAAUCCUUGGCAGCACCGUAUGAGAAAUCAUAAGUCUUUGGGUUCUGGGGGGAGUAUGGUCGCAAGGCUGAAACUUAAAGGAAUUGACGGAAGGACACCACCAGGAGUGGAGCCUGCGGCUUAAUUUGACCCAACACGGGGAAACUUACCAGGUCAAAACAUGAGUGGGAUUGACAGAUUGAGAGCCCUUUCUUGAUUGUAUGGGUGGUGGUGCAUGGCCGUUCCUAGUUGGUGGAGUGGUUUGUCUGGUUAACUCCGUUAACGAACGAGACCUUAACCUGCUAACUAGUUCUCUUGUCACUAACAGGAGAUACUUCUUAGAGGGACUAUGGGAUUCAAGCCCAUGGAAGUUUGAGGCAAUAACAGGUCUGUGAUGCCCCUAGAUGUCCUGGGCCGCACGCGUUCUACAAUGACUUGUGCAGCAAGUUCUAUCCUGGCUCGGAAGAGUGCGGGUAAACUUUAUAAUGCAAGUCGUAUUAGGGAUCGAUCUUUGAAAUUAUAGAUCUUGAACAAGGAAUUCCUAGUAAGUGCAAGUCAUCAGCUUGUACUGAUUACGUCCCUGCCCUUUGUACACACCGCCCGUCGCUCCUACCGAUUUCGAGUGAUACGGUGAACCUCCUGGACCGCAGAGACUUCGAGUUAAUGUGGGAAGUUAAGUAAACCUUUCACUUAGAGGAAGGAGAAGUCGUAACAAGGUU